rnacentral:rRNA from 1 species
AAGCAGGGGAUCGUAAGACCUUGCGCUUUUGGAGCGGCCGAUGUCUGAUUAGCUAGUUGGUGGGGUAAUGGCCUACCAAGGCUACGAUCAGUAGCUGGUCUGAGAGGACGGCCAGCCACACUGGGACUGAGACACGGCCCAGACUCCUACGGGAGGCAGCAGUGGGGAAUUUUGGACAAUGGGCGCAAGCCUGAUCCAGCCAUGCCGCGUGAGUGAAGAAGGCCUUCGGGUUGUAAAGCUCUUUCAGCCGGGAAGAAAAGGUUGCGAUUAAUAAUCGCAAUUCAUGACGGUACCGAAAGAAGAAGCACCGGCUAACUACGUGCCAGCAGCCGCGGUAAUACGUAGGGUGCGAGCGUUAAUCGGAAUUACUGGGCGUAAAGGGUGCGCAGGCGGCUUUGUAAGUCAGAUGUGAAAUCCCCGGGCUUAACCUGGGAAUUGCGUUUGAAACUACAAGGCUUAG